GACGAACGCUGGCGGCGUGCCUAACACAUGCAAGUCGAACGAAGAGCGAUGGAAGCUUGCUUCUAUCAAUCUUAGUGGCGAACGGGUGAGUAACGCGUAAUCAACCUGCCCUUCAGAGGGGGACAACAGUUGGAAACGACUGCUAAUACCGCAUACGAUCUAAUCUCGGCAUCGAGGAUAGAUGAAAGGUGGCCUCUACAUGUAAGCUAUCACUGAAGGAGGGGAUUGCGUCUGAUUAGCUAGUUGGAGGGGUAACGGCCCACCAAGGCGAUGAUCGGUAGCCGGUCUGAGAGGAUGAACGGCCACAUUGGGACUGAGACACGGCCCAGACUCCUACGGGAGGCAGCAGUGGGGAAUCUUCCGCAAUGGACGAAAGUCUGACGGAGCAACGCCGCGUGAGUGAUGACGGCCUUCGGGUUGUAAAGCUCUGUUAAUCGGGACGAAAGGCCUUCUUGCGAAUAGUGAGAAGGAUUGACGGUACCGGAAUAGAAAGCCACGGCUAACUACGUG
rnacentral:rRNA from 1 species